GGCUAAAGAUUUUUAUUUCUUACUUAAGCGUGCUGUAUGUAUACAUACAAUAUUAAUAUAUACAACUUGAACAAAUACAAUUUAUACAUAAAAUACAAUGAAAGUGUGGCUUUUGAAAUUAAUGCAACAAACUCAUCAUACAAUUUGUAAUUCUGGCCAGUAUACAGUAUUGUAGUAAUGCUAUUGAAGUUACUGAUGAUUUAAAUUAGACUACAGUAGAAGUUCAAAGGCACUAGGAAGAUCUAUGUUUUAGUCUAGCAUUUAUAUCAAAGAGUAACUAAAAAGGAACACAGAUGCAUACAUUAAUAAACUGGGCAGACACUGACGUACUUAAAUGUAAACUCUACCCAUCCUUUAAUUUACAGCCCUGCAGGAAAGGGAGGGACUUUCCUUAUGAUAACAGUUAAGGGAAAAAUGUUAUUAAAAGAUGAAAAAGAAACACAACAAACUAAAGCUACAAUCAUAAUUAAAAAAAAAAAGUUAGUUGAAGUAGCACCACCCUCUCCCCCAAAGUAACCUUAAAUUUCGUGCAGCAAAAAAAGGUCCUUUUUUCUCAAAAAUAGAUGACACAGCAUGUGAAACUGAUUCUACUUGUGGGACGAACACAUGGAGGUAAACCUCCCACCUUAAUUACCCUACACCUCACAAGAAUCUAAACAGAAAUGGGGAAUACUACCAUAUUUUAAUAUCUCAGUUAUUACUACACAUAUUUGCAAGGUUUACUAAAGAACAUACUACAAACAACAUUCUACCAAGGCUCCUCUUAAUAAAUAUUACUUUUUUAAAUUAAAGAGAAAAAAUCGCCAUUCACAUUCAAUAACCUACUUAUAUGUGACACUCAUUUUAAAUGUUUCUUAUUUCAAAUAAUGAGCAAAUUUAUCUAUCUUUUCAUGAAACUAACACUGAAGUUACAAAUAUUUCAUUUGUGGACAAUGACACAAAGUAAAUGUGAAGGAACCACAGGACUGCUAUGAUUGGAGCUAAGUGAACAGCUUUAAUGCUAGGUUCCCAUGCUUUCACAUGGGGACUCAGGCCUGGCUCCAAUAUCUAAUCUUGAUAUCAGUUCUAAUGUAAUGCUAAAGCAGCCUAUUUUUAAAAUUUAUCAAUGUUUUGACUUUUUAUAGCUUUCUUUUUGUUACUGCAGUGACAUGGAAAAGAAAAAUAUCUAAGAUGCUGACUUAAAUUUUCCUUAAUGUUUUAAAGCUUAAUGCAAAAGUUAUCCCUUUUCUAUUAAAUGGAUGGUUAAAGGCUAGACCUGUGGACUUAAAAAAAAAAAAAGACAUAGUCAUUUUUUUUUCUACUGGUAAAAUUAAGAUUUCUCUAGAGUAAUUACUAAUAGACUUAAAUGUGCAUCUAUAACUCCCAAGAUAUUCUGGUUACACAAAGCUUUUACAAGACAUAAGUUCACCUCAAGUCUUCACAGUAUCUAAACAAUGCCCCAUAAAGUUAUAAAUGUCUAACUAUCUUGCACAUCACAAAGAGAAUGCUGUUAGUUAAAUCCAAUUCUUCUUACCUAGAAAAAAUUCACCAUACAUAAGAUAUUUAGUACAUCACCUUUGAAAUGUACUUUAAGUUUAUGGACACAUUUUUACACAAUUCACAAGUAUGCUACCUCCACUCCCAUUC
ensembl:lncRNA